rnacentral:lncRNA from 1 species
CGUGGCCUAGACUCCAAAACAUAAAAAAUUAGGCGUGGUGGCACACUCCUGUCAUCCCAGCUAUUUUGGGAGGUAGAGGCAGGAGGCUCAGGAGUUGGGGGCUGCAGUGAGCUGUGAUUGCUCCACUGCCCUCUAGUUUGUGCGACAGAGUGAGACUUUGCCUCAAAGAAACAAAUGAAAAAGAGCUGGGAGCUCACAGCCCUGCCUCAAGAGCUCACCGCAUCCUUGGGAGGCAAAACCGUGAGACGUGGCACUGCCAGGAGCUUUCUGGACGACCCAAAGCACUGCGCGGAGGGCAGGUCGUGCUGGUUGGCGCCACUGCAGCAGACACCUUGGGGAGAAGGCCGCGAAAUGAAGAACGGGCCAAGAUAAGCCUGAGGGGAAUGGUGUCAGACCCAGCGAUCAGCUUUCACCAUGGGCGUCGGGGGCCUGGCGGGCGCAUGCAUGCUGAGGGGGCUGUCGGCGGGUGGGCUCACUGAGCGGAGAAGGAUGAAGUGGCGAUACCCCCAGCACGAGGCUUCUGCUGCACAGACUCAGGCGCUCCCUCCCCUGGUGGCAGUGAGCUGGGGCCUGCUCAGCACCCCCGGCCCCAGGAUGUGCCUGCUGGUGCCUGAGAGAGCAGCAGCCAGGUCUUCUCCAUACUUUGAGGAUAUGAAAGGAGCCAGAACAGAAGGGGGUUCCUGCAGGGCCACCGGUGCCUCACACUGGCACCAAGGCCUGGGGCCCGCAGUGUCCGUGAGGGCCUCCU